UAUCUAGAUGUUUGACUCUAUAUCUGAUUGAUUAAUCUGGAAGAACAUCAUCGUUGUUGAGUGACCCCUGCUAGAAGUGGUGUGACAACAGAACCCAGAGAGACAUCACCAAUUUGAGAAACUUAAGUGGAAAGAAUCCAAAAGCCAAUGUCGGAUUGCAUGAUGUAAUGGGAGAACAGAAGGCUAAUUAUGACAUCUUGGGUUGGCCCUGUUACCUUCAGUUCCAUGCUGUCUUGAAUGGUC
rnacentral:lncRNA from 1 species